AUUGAACGCUGGCGGCAUGCUUUACACAUGCAAGUCGAACGGUAACAGGCCGCAAGGUGCUGACGAGUGGCGAACGGGUGAGUAAUGCAUCGGAACGUGCCCAGUCGUGGGGGAUAACGCAGCGAAAGCUGUGCUAAUACCGCAUACGAUCUAUGGAUGAAAGCGGGGGACCGUAAGGCCUCGCGCGAUUGGAGCGGCCGAUGUCAGAUUAGGUAGUUGGUGGGGUAAAGGCCUACCAAGCCAACGAUCUGUAGCUGGUCUGAGAGGACGACCAGCCACACUGGGACUGAGACACGGCCCAGACUCCUACGGGAGGCAGCAGUGGGGAAUUUUGGACAAUGGGCGCAAGCCUGAUCCAGCAAUGCCGCGUGCAGGAAGAAGGCCUUCGGGUUGUAAACUUCUUUUGUACGGAGCGAAAAGGCCCUUUCUAAUACAAGGGGCUCAUGACGGUACCGUAAGAAUAAGCACCGGCUAACUACGUGCCAGCCGCCGCCGUAAAAC
rnacentral:rRNA from 1 species